GUGUCAGCCGCCGCGGUAAUACAGAGGGGGCGAGCGUUGUUCGGAAUUACUGGGCGUAAAGGGCGCGUAGGCGGCCUGUUAAGUCGAACGUGAAAUCCCCGGGCUUAACCCGGGAACUGCGUCCGAGACUGAUAGGCUCGAAUCCGGGAGAGGGAUGUGGAAUUCCAGGUGUAGCGGUGAAAUGCGUAGAUAUCUGGAGGAACACCGGUGGCGAAGGCGGCAUCCUGGACCGGUAUUGACGCUGAGGCGCGAAAGCCAGGGGAGCAAACGGGAUUAGAUACCCUAGUAGUCC
rnacentral:rRNA from 1 species